CAAUAGCGUAUAUUUAAGUUGUUGCGGUUAAAAAGCUCGUAGUUGGAUUUCUGCUGAGGACGAUCGGUCCGCCCACUGGGUGAGUAUCUGGCUCGGCCUUGGCAUCUUCUUGGAGAACGUUGCUGCACUUGACUGUGUGGUGCGGUAUCCAGGACUUUUACUUUGAGGAAAUUAGAGUGUUUCAAGCAGGCGCACGCCUUGAAUACAUUAGCAUGGAAUAAUAAGAUAGGACCUUGGUUCUAUUUUGUUGGUUUCUAGAGCUGAGGUAAUGAUUAAUAGGGAUAGUUGGGGGCAUUCGUAUUUAACUGUCAGAGGUGAAAUUCUUGGAUUUGUUAAAGACGGACUACUGCGAANGNAUUUGCNAAGGAUGUUUNCAUUG
rnacentral:rRNA from 1 species